UAUUGAAGCUUUCCUCGGGCAACUUUUAUGGCCUGAAUUGUUAAAUAAAGGCCAGCUACUAUUGUUAGAAGAAAGACAAUGGUUAGAGAGGCUGCAAGUUAUAUAGAGGUUAGUCGGCCAUUAGGUCUGUCAUUUCUUUUAUAGCACAUUUUCCAAAGAUAGAUUAGGCUGUCAAUACAAGUACAUUGCAUGUGCAUAUAGGUACCGUUAAAUUUGCCAACCACGUCAUGGAUUCUUCCUGUAGCCCAGUGGUUACAUUUCCGAGCUUCGGUUCGGAAGGGCAUGGUGCUCAGCCCCCGCAGAGGGACUUUGUUCGUUUUAUUCAUAUUUGUCCCUAUAAUCUUUUUUAGUUUGUUUUGGUUUGAACAAGUUUUUGACGAAAAGACGUUUUAAGGAAGGACAAGAAACCUGACUCGCCCUAAAAUAUAUUGAACUUAUUAUAUCUUCUUUUUUUAAACUCUUUUUAUUAGCUUGUAUCCAGUAAGCGAAGAACUGCAAAAGAAGGAAUCUUACCGGAAGUUGUUUUUCCCUUGCGAAAGAUUUAAUAAGGGUUUUAUAAAAGACUCGAGAACUUAGCCAAGUUAUUGCUGAAAAGACCUCUUAAGGAAGGACAAGAAACCUGACUCACCGUGGAAUAUAUCCAACUUAUUAUGUCUUUUUGAUUUAAGCUCUCUUUAUUAGCUUGUAUCCAAUAAGCGAAGAACUGCAAAAGAGCGAAUCUUGAAGGAAAUGUUAAUUUUUUUUUUGCUUGCAAAAGAUUCAAUAAGGGAUUCAAAAAAAAGACUCUAUAACUUAGGCAGGGUCUUUCAUUUUCUUUAUAUCAUAUUUUAAAAAGCAAGAUGAGGCUGUCAAUAAAAACUAUAUUUCUUGUGCAUAUAGGUACCGUUACAUUUGGUAACCAAUUCAAGGAGUCCCACUGUAACCCAGUGGCUACAUUUCCGAACUUUCGGUUCGGAAAGGCAUGGCGUUCAGCCCCCGCAGGGGAACUCUUUUUGUUAUAUCUAUGUUGGAGUCCACUUAGAUUUUUUCGCACAAUCGUCUUUUUUUCUCCUUUAAUCCAAGUUAAGUCAUUGUAAAAAGACCUUUUGAGAAAGGACAUCAAACCUGACUGACCGUAAUAUGUAUAUCCAACUUAUUAUGUCUUUUUUCAUUUCGGCUCUCUUUAUUAGCGUGUAUCCAAUAAAGAAAUAUUUGUUACAAGUG